AAAGUCACAAACUUCUCAUAAACUAAAAGUUCCUACAGCGCUCUGGCAUUUGUGGUUUGGAGUUUGGGUGAAGCUGACAGCGUCACUGAGUCAGACAGAUGAACAGAAAAAGAAUCAGCGUUACUGAGCAACGUUUGGACGUGAGGGCAGUUUGUUCAUCGUGAAAUUGUCUUUAUAAACUUAAAUAACACGUCUGUAGGAGAGUUAUUCCAAAAAGCAUGUAAAGGACAUGGAGGAAGAGGAGGGUGGGAGAAGAAGAAGUAAGCUGAGAGACGAAGGAGGAGGAGAAAUGAUGGAGGAAGUAGGAGGAAGAGAGAAAAAAUGUGAAGGAUCAACAGGAGAAGACAACAAAACAAGAUGAGGGCUUCAGAAGAAAGAAGAAGAAAAGAAAAAAGAUGGAAACGGAGUAAGAGAAGGGUGUGUGUGUGUGUAUCGCUGGCUGGGCUGUCCCAACAGACUGAAAUAGAAGCAGUCAUUACUCCCUGUGUUGCUGUGAUGGACAGUCUGUCUGUCUGUCUGUCUGCCUGCCUGCCUGCCUGCCUGCUCGUCUGUCUGUCUGUCUGCCACUGCCUGUUUGUCUGUCUGUCUGUCUGCCACUGCCUGUCUGUCUGUCUGUCUGCCUGCCUGCCUGCCUGCCUGCCUGUCUGUCUGCCUGUCUGUCUGUCUGUCUGUCUGUCUGUCUGCCACUGCCUGUCUGCCUGUCUGUCUGUCUGCCACUGCCUGUCUGCCACUGCCUGUCUGUCUGUCUGUCUGCCUGCCUGCCUGCCUGCCUGCCUGUCUGUCUGUCUGCCUGCCUGCCUGCCUGCCUGCCUGUCUGUCUGACUGCCUGUCUGUCUGUCUGUCUGUCUGUCUGUCUGCCACUGCCUGUCUGCCUGUCUGUCUGUCUGCCACUGCCUGUCUGCCACUGCCUGUCUGUCUGUCUGCCACUGCCUGUCUGUCUGCGCUGUGUUCAUAAUGCCGUGUGGUCAGUGAGCAGAGCGACAGGCUGCAGGGUGGAGCUGCCUUCACUGUAACCACAGACACACACACAAGUGAGUCCUUCUGAUCUGAACUGUUGGCAGCUUCAGUCACAAUGAAGUCAGGAUGCUGCAGCAAGGAAAUGCAAGCAAGAUAACUAAACACACGCACACAUGAAUGGUACAAACAUGGAGGAGUGGUGGUCACACUUUACUGUUUGGCUGGGAACACAACCGUGGACACAAUGUGCUCCCUGGCAAUUUUAAUAGGUUCAUUCUAACUAUACAAGCUCAUGUAGGAGUAUCUGAAGAACUAGUGACAUCCAUCCAUCCAUCCAUGCAUCCAUCCAUUAUCUAUACACCACUUAAUCUUCAUUAGGGUCAUGGGAGGCUGGAGUCCAUCCCAGCUGACUUAGGGUGAAGACAAGGGACAUCCUGCACAGGUAACAGUCUAUCACAGGACUAUACAUAGAGACAAACAAUGACACUCACUUUCACACCUAUGGACUAUUUAGAAUCACCGUGUCAUCACAUUUUGUGAGAUCAGUGUCCAUGACCUUUAAUCUUUACCUGCUAGAUUUAUUUAGUUCAUCCUUGUCCUGGCAUUCAAAUGACGGAACCCUAGCCUAAAUUGGAAGACAUUUACUCCAGGUGAGAUGAACAAGUAGAUUGGUGCGGCAGAAGCAGUAAUGUUGAUGUUGUACCAAGCCGUUGUGGUGAAGAGGGAACUGAGCUGCAAGGUGAAGCUCUCAGUUUACCAUCCAUCUAUGUUCCAACCCUCAUCUAUGGUCAUGAGCUCUGGGUAGUGACAGAAAGAUUGAGAUUGUGGAUACAAGCGGCUGAAAUGAGCUUCCUGGGCUCAGCCUUAGAGAUAAGGGGAGAAGCUCAGACAUCUGGAGGGAUCUCAGAGUAGAACCACUGCUCCUUCGUGUAGAAAGGAACCAGCUGAGGUGGUUUGGACACCUGAUUCAGAUGUCUCUAGGUAGACUUCCUUUGGAGGUUUUCCGAACACGUCCGCCUGGGAGUAGACUCUGGGGCAGACCCAGAACUCGCUGGAGGGAUUAUGUAUCUCGUUUGGCCUGGGAACACCUCAGGAUCCCCCAGGAAGAACUUGAGAGCUUGGCGAGGGUCAGGGACGUCUGGAACAACCUGCUUCACCUGCUGCCUCCACAAUGGAUGGAUGGAUGGAUGGAUAGACAGAUGGAUGGACAGAUAGAUGGAUGGAUGGAUGGAUGGAUGGAUGGACGGAUGGAUGAAUGGAUGGACGGAUGGAUGGAUGGAUGGAUGGAUGGAUGGAUGGAUGGAUGGAUGGACGGACGGACGGACGACUCCAGCCGUGCAAGUGCUAACGUGUUAGCAGGGAUGGGACAUACACACAACCAAAACACAUGAUUCCUCUGAGGCCAUAGAGGCAUAAAAAUGUCAGAAAUGCAAUAACUGGCUAAGUCUGAAGAUUUAAGAAUAUUUGUUGCAGAAAUAUUUGAAUUUUUCUCUUUUAGGUUAAGGAAUUGAAUGGGUGUGGUUUCCUUUAUUUAAGUGGGAGGGUGGAAUCACUUCUGGGGUCCGUUUCACGAAGCAGGUUCAACAAACUCCUGAACUCUGAGUUGAUCUAUUCUGAGAUAGAAAACUCUGAGUUUUCGGUUUCACAACGGCUGAUUUGAGUUGGUUUAAUCAACUCGGAGUAGUUUCACCCGGAGUUAAGCACAUGCACCACAACUAUAAAAAGACAGCAUCAAUGGAACUCCGAUUCGACGAGUCAUCAUGGCAACAGGGAAGCGGAGAGCUACGUGUUUUUUUUUUUACACCACUUGAAGUGGACAUCUUAAUGCGUUCAUAUGGCGACUUCGAACACAUUUUUAGAAAGAAGUGCAACACCUGCAGCUGCAAAAGAGAGGGAGACGGCGUGGGAGAACAGUGCUGCCCAGGUCAAUGUGUAAGUUUAAAUCACAAUAAUAUUACUGGGAAACUGUUUAAUAGCAGCCUGUUCUGUUAUUUCAUUUAGGUGCAAUCCUGCGGGGGAGAAGCGCAUGUGGCAGCAGCUGAAGAUGAAAUAUAAGAACAUUGUUCAAACAGAAAGAAAGCAGAUGCCUGUAAAAAGGGAGGUGGCCCAGCAGCACCACCUGUAACGGAGGCAGAGGAGCUGGUCCUAAGCCAGAAUUUGGGAAGGCCAGUGGCUGAGGGAAUCCCUGGAGGGAGCUCAUCCUCUGAGACCACAUCCCAAGACACAAGUGCUUUUAUAUAUAUGCGCGAGUGCGUGAAUUGUGAUGGUACUAUCUGCCUGGUGGAGCCCCUUCACACCACAACACACCUUGGAACUGAUGAAGAGGAUGAAACUGUGUCUGCUGCCUUUACAGAGGGGGAUCCAGAAAGACAUCUAGAGAGCAUGGCUGGACAGCAGCAGGAUGCUUCCUCAACUUCCACUGCACAGAUUGACACAGUGAGAUAGAUGCUCAGUAAACACCAGAGGUUCAGUCCGUGGAAUUCAUGUGCAACUGUAUAAUUUAAUCUCCUUUAUGUAUUCCCACUUACCAGUAAAACAAAUACACAAAAUCCACUUGCUGAAGAAAAAUACAAAAAACAGAUAAAGAAAUGCAGUACUUGCACCGCCAGAUUAAGAAGGCAGAUCUAGAAAUUGAAAUACUGGAGCACAAGUCAGAGGUGGGUGCAGGUCACAGGUGAAUUAUGUUAACUACUGGAACAUUAACUAAACUAGCUCUUUUAUUUGUAGGAAAUAAAGAAGACCAAAUGAAAUGUAUGUCAUGUGUUUAUUUCACUGCUGUGGUGGUGAUGAUGGAGACUUAAACUCCAAAGUGAUUAUUGCAUAUGGUGUCUCUGACUGCUCUGCUGUCCUGGAUAGCUGCAGGUGGAUGAGGUCAUCAUCUGGGUCUUCAGUUUGUAGGGCAGAGUGUUGCUCUCCUCUAAUAGUGGUAAUAUUAUGAAGAACAACACAUGCCACAAUAAUAUCACAGGCCUCUCAGGAGUCACCCUGAGGUGAUGUAGACACUGGAAACAGGCUUUCAGCAGGUCUAUGGUCAUCUCCACCCAGGCUCUCAUCCUGCAGUGAACCCGGUUGAAGUUCUGUUGGGGGCCUGGUUCAGGGUCAGGGUAUGAGGUCAUCAGCCUGGGUUGGCAUGGUAACCCCCGUCACCCAGCAGAAGGCCAUCAAACUCUCCUGUAAUGUAUACUGGAUACAUUAGAGUAUAUUAAAGGAGGGAGACAAGCGAAUUAUAUUGUAAAAAAAAUCUUUAGGCUGCUUCCCAUGCCGCAGUCCAUCGCUCACAUUAAACUCGUGAUAAAUCCUCCAGUCAUGAACAGACCCAGGCCACUUGGCCUCCACAUUGGAAAUGAUGUAUGCAGCAUCACAUAUGAUCUUAACAGUGCAGAGAAUGACUGAUGUUGAACUAUGAUGCAGUCUUUAACAUUUUGAAACCGUAGUCAAUCUACCUGUAACCUACCUGCACAUUUAUGCUGUGAAUGGACUUCCUGUUCACAUAAUCAGCUUCAUUAUGUCAGGGAGCUGUGAUGGGGAUGUGUCUGCCAUCUAUGCAGCCAAUCACACUGAGAAAUCCUACAAGAAAUUAAAAUUACUAAUCCCAGUCUGAGGUUGCAGCACAAUGUCAUUAAAUGAAUAUGAUUUAAAAUUAAUUGAACAGAUCUCUACAUCAUUCACCUGCAGUCCUGUGGAACUCCUCCUUGAUGGCUCUGACAGGUUUGUGACCAGGGAAAACCACAAAGAUGAUAAAAGUCGUUUCAGGGCGAGGCUCACUUUUCUGACCACUCUACAUACAGUGGCCUUACUGAAGUGCUCUGCAUCUCCAACAUUGUAUUAAAAAAAACUCCCAUUUGCAAAGAACCACAGCACAACACACAAUAUCUGAUGGGAUGUGAGAGCACGACUGCAGCUGGUAAAGUUGUAAAUGUAAGGACAUAUUACAUUGUGGAUGUAGAUUAUGGACUGUGACGUGAAACGGUACCAUUCAAAAACAUAAUUGUCCGGAAAUGCCAAAACAUCUAUGCACAGCCUGAUAAGUCUCUCCCGACAAAUAUUUAAUUCUCUGCGCAGUAAUGCUAUGCCUUCAUCCACUGGAUCGUUAAUAAACGGACAUGACAUUUAUAGACAGCAGAACUAGGCUACACCAAAACUCACCAGCUAACUCAAUGAAUGAAUGAGGAAAUCUAAUAGCAUGUGGCUGAAAAAGGGCAGAGACAGACAGAGACUCGAGGUUUACUGAGAUAAACCUGGUCCCGACCAGGUUAGAUUCAUAGAGUCUGUUACUACGGUAACUGACCGAGAGCUUAAGUUACCCCUCUUUGUGAAACAGGCUACAGUUACCCCUAUGUCUCUGGUUUGAGUUACCUCCCUUUGUGAAACAAAAAACUCAGAGUUUCCCUCAUUUCAGGGUUAACAAACUCAAAGUUUUCACUAAACCUGCUUCGUCAAACGGACCCCAGAUGAAAUAAUACUGUGAUGAUUAAAUGUGGCACAGUAACGGUUUGGGUUGCAGUACCGGCCUAUCAUUGACUCCACUGAAAGAUGAUUAACGUGCUGAAAGGAAAUCAGUAGUGAAGCCUGUUUAUCCCGAUCACUUCUAAUUACUGGGGAGUGAUGAGACAGAGGGAGGAGUGGUGAGAAGAAGUCAGCUGUUCAGGACUCAGCAGCACAAUGAGGAGACAAUAGACUCAGUCCAGCAUUCUUAUACUCGUCAGCUGCCUGUUUGUGUGCGUCUAUGUGUGUGUCACAUGUGCAACUUUAACAAAAAUGUGUAUAAAUCUGAAAGCAAAUCUUAGUUAAUGUGACUAAAAUGAGCUAUUAGUGUAUCAGGAUUAAAGCGCAUUUAACUGUACAACAGCAGCCGCUUUGAUGUCGCUCUGCUGUCGACUUUGCACUUCCUCUUAGAUUGUAAAACCCGAAUACACAGCUGUCUGUCAUCACACACAGCAAGACAGCUCGUCUCUCUGUGGGUGUGUGUGUGUGUGUGUGUGUGUGUGUGUGUGUGUGUGUGUGAGACAGAGAGAGAGAGAGAGAGAGAGAGAGAGAGAGAGAGAGAGAGAGGAUGAAAAGGUUACCCUACCUGCUGCUUUCUCAUUACUGCCUUUGGGAGCCUUAAUAAUAGUUAAACAUGUGUGUGUGUUGUGUGUGUUUAUGUGUGUGUGUGUGCGUGCGUGCGUGCAACAGACUCUUUAUGAACGGAAGCUAUUGGUUGUUUGAAGUUUACACUACCUGCAAAGACAGGAGCAGAGAGGAGUUUAGGGUUUUAUGCGGACUAUGCCUCCCUGUGUGUGUGUGUGUGUGUGUGUGUGUGUGUGUGUGUGUGUGUGUGUGUGUGUGUGUGUGUGUGUGUGUGCGUGUGUGUGUGUAGGAGCCUCUUGUUAAUAAUGAUUUACUGCGGGUGUGUGUUUGGUAAGGAUGGGAGCUUUUACACCUAAUAAUCAUGUGUUUCACCUGGAUGCAGGAGCGUCUCAGGAACUGGGCAGCAGUUAAUUUUGGCCGUCGUCGGUUUUCCAGCACAGAACUGCUUCCAUUAACACGCUCAGUCAAAUAAACUACAAAAGACAAAACUCAACAUUAAUGCACAGCAACAACCUCCACGAUGAACAAACAGCACAGUAAUAUAAAAGUAACCGGGCCAUGUUCAUCCAUUAUACUGGAAACUACCGCAGCAACUGAUUGGCUGAUUUUUUUUUUUUUUUUUAGUCAUUUCUGCACAGAAUCUAAAGAUGUGAGAGCAAUAGUGAGCUACUAAUUGUGUAAAGGACUUGACAUUGCAGCCUGGCAGAGAUUUAACAGAUGCCCAGUGUUUUUUUUUUUUUUUUUUUAAAUUUGUGUUUAUUUUUAUUACACCAGGAGAAAUCCCGUUGAGAUUAAGUAUCUCUUUUUCAAGGGAGUUCUGGCCAAGAUAGGCAGCAGCAAGUACAAAACACAAUCAUAAAAUCACACAGUUAAAACAUAAUUAAAAUACAAACAAAAUAACAAAAAAAUAUAUAAAAUUUACAAGCAAGUUAUGAAAAACAAGUGCAUGUUGUUGAAUCGGCCUUAAAAACUCGCAUUAACUCGAUUAACUCAGUUAAUUUCCAGUCUUUCUGCAACAUAUUCCAUGCAAAAGGUAGAGUAAACAAAAGCCUUUUUGCCCAGUUCAGUGCGAACAUAUGGAACAGAAAGCAACAAAUGAUCUUGUGAACAGAGCGAGUGAAGAUGAGAACUUUUCUGUGCAGUGGUGCUACAGAGAAAAGUAGAAAUCCUGAGUUACUAACUAGGACCUCAGUGCUGAAAAAGCUGUUGUAUACAUGGAAAGCAGAUGCAUUAUUCUAUUUAAGGGUGAGAAAUCAAGUCUUCAGAGCAACAAACACUGAGGUUUAACAUUUAUCAAUCACAGCGUUUUCUCUGGUUCAACUUCAGAUUCAUAAACCAGAUUAAAUAUUCUUUCGUAAAGCAAAUUUUACAUUUAAGAGAAAGACAGACUGAGUAGCAAUUGUAGUUGUGAGACUUUUUCAUAUUUCCACAUUCGUACGCUGCAUGUAAGUGCUACUGGAGAAAGUUCUGAGCCACAUAUACAACUUACAGAUGAGAGAAUAACAGGAAAGUGGGUGAAUUGAACAUUGAGACUUGUAUUUUUCAUGCAAAAAUGUAAUUAUUGUCUAAUCAUAGUGACGAUUUAUUAAAUCUUUUACAAGAAGAAUCUUUCCUACUUUGCAAUUGUGCAUGAAAGUCUGAAGUUUUCACUUGUACCUAAAUGCAGCACAUGUUUGUUGAUCCCAAUGUGUGAAAAAUAGAUACAAUUUCUCAGAUUGUUUGGUAUUUGUUUGUGGAUUGGACAGUGUAUUCAAUCAAACUUAAGUCUUUAAACACUCAUCUGUUAUCCUUACUGACAUUAAUGUCUAUGCAUAUAGGAGUUGAGACACCGUCCUACCUGAAUCUAAUGGUUCCUACACUUUUCUGCACUUCUGUCUGCAUUUUGUUUGGAAUAAUUUGUCCUAAACUCACAAUUACCUCAUGCUGUAACAACACCAGGCACUUUCAUCAGAGGUUGUUUUGUGUUUUCUAAUCAAACAUCAACACAGACAGAAAAAGACACAUAAAUGAUGAAUUCGUAUAGAUAUUUAGUGAGUUAUUUAGCAUUUAGGCAGGUCAUAGGAAAGAAAGGAAGAUGAACCAGCCUGAGAGAGGAAUUGCAUCUCAUCACACAUGUCUGGAGGCUCACAUUUAUAGAAAUCCUGGCGUCUCUGUUCCAUGAGCCACACCAGUGACAGACAUUAAAGCGCUAUAGAAAAACUCCUCUUCAGUGUGUGUGUGUGUGUGUGUGUGUGUGUGUGUGUGAAGCAGACUGACAACGCUCUACCGCCACCUGUUAUUAAAUCCACCUUCUGGAAUUACAGCUGAGAGAGAGUCAGAAUCAGGUUCAUCUCAAAGAACAUUAUAAAGGCAUUUCCUGGGCUGAGAGGCAGCGACACUGAGAGGGAGGGAGAGAGAGAGAGAGAGAGAGAGGUGGUGGUGGUGAGGAGAUAAAGAACUUCUCUUUCUUUUUUUGCCAGAAGCAGAUAAUUGAAGACCUUGCUCGGGGUUUGGGAAGCUAAAGGAGGGAAGACGGAGGCGUAGUCAUCGAGGGCAAAGAGAAGAAAGAGAGAGAGAGAGAGAGGGAAGCCACGUCCACAUGUAUGACUCACUCUGCCUCCCUCCUUCUGCUCUCUAACUCUUUGUCUACAUCCCAGAGCAGCAGAAAAUAUCGCCACUGGUGCUAUUUAAUGGGAGCACCUUGAGUAGAAGUGAUAAACGUAUCAAUGCUCCCUGCAGCUGUAGGUUCAGUAGCAGUAAGUGCUUUAUUUACAGUAGCAGUCACUGUAUAAGUAGUAAAAUGUCAUAGGUGCACAUAGACACACACGCACGCACGCGCACACACACGCACGCACGCACGCACGCACGCACGCACGCACGCACGCACGCACGCACGCACGCACACACACCAAAUUGUCUGUUUUUGAUGUGCUUGCCAAGGUAAACGCAGACAGACGUGAGGAGCACGUCUGGCAUCUAAAUAUAUGGCAAAUGCUUUAUGCUCCUCUGCUAACCACAAGACAUAAGUGAACCAUAAAACGAUGACACAAAAUCAAAAGAGGUCAAAAUCACGCUGGUGUGUAUGUAAAGUGAAAUGAAUGCACUACAAAGGUGGCUUCGAGGGGUAUGUGGAGAAAGAUUUUGCAUUUUGUUGUGCUCAAAGUUUGUACAGUGUCGUUCAGAUAUGCAAGUAGAACAAAUGUCAACAACUGCUGAAGUGCUGUUGCUACUGCACAUUUAUUCCUUCGUUGACUCUGUUUCAGUUUUUACACUUUCCCUGUUUUACUGUCUGCUGCUCAUUUUGUUAAAUUGAAAAGUCUGUCCCUCUUUCUUGGAUAACUCUAGUCGCAUUGUACUGAGGAAAAAGCAGCUGUAUACACAUCCAUGUCAGCACACAAAGCUACAGAUUUAAACUCAAAACAGCAGACUUACAUGUAUUUCUAUACAUUCUGCGGCACGUGUAUUAGAAAACAUGACUGAGGCCUCCUGGUAGCAAUAAGAAGAGCUGCUUUGUUUAUCAUGUUUGGCUGGACAAGGUGAAAAAGACCAAAAGAUAAAACAAGAUUAAGGUCGAGGAUGCAGAAUGCAGAACAAAACAUCUGGAUCAAAUGAAUGACCUGCACAGCAAGUGCACUGACUGCAUAUGCCAGAGGAGUAAACCAGACGCUUGUUUUUUUGCACCUUAUACAGAAUAUGUCCUGUUUGUUUUGUAUUUCACAUCCUUGGACCUUCAUGCAUAUGAACAGAUGAGAAAAUUUACAAGACUCUUGCAGACAUGUUGAUGCAGAACUGGCCUCAGUGGUACUCAGUCUAGCCUGGUGUUAUUCAUCUAACUGAUGUCUGAACUCAUGAGGAAGUCACAUUCUAUGGAUAGAAAUUAGCCUCAACAAGGAAGAACAUUCAUAUUAUAUGAUCUACAAAUGAAAACCAGAUUUACAAAUACUGACAAUAAUUUAUGAGUAAUUUGUGCUCUAAAAUGUAUCCAAACAUGCCAAACAAUUAUUGAGUUAAUCACACCUUUAAUACAUAUCAGUAGUCAGGUCUGUAGAGGUAAAUAUAUACAUUAUAAAUGCAUAGAGCAAAAUAUCUCUCCUCAGGAUUUGCAAUGACAAGGACUGUUGACCACCCUGCAGCUACAACACACAUAGAAUCACACACAUUCAUCACCUCCAAACUCAAAAAUACACAAAAUGCAGAUUAUAUUAUGUACACAAUAUUAUACUGUUCCAUGUGUGAUUCCAUACCUACCAUGUUAAUUAACCCUUGGACUGUAUUAUUUAUUGUUUACAGUCUAUCACAGAUAUUUACACCACCUUUCAGAAGUUUGGGGUCACUUAGAAAUGUCCUUAUUUUUGAAAGAAAAGAAUUUUUUUUCCAUGAAGAUAACAUUAAAUGAAUGAUAAAUCCAGUGUAGACAUUGUUAAUGUGGUAAAUGACUAUUCUAGCUGGAAACAGCUGAGUUUUAAUGGAAUAUCUCCAUAGAGGUACAGAGGAACAUUUCCAGCAACCAUCACUCCUGUGUUCUAAUGCUACAUUGUGUUAGCUAAUGGUGUUGAAAGGCUCAUUGAUGAUUAGAAAACCCUUGUGCAGUUAUGUUAGCACAUGGAGAAAAGUGGGAGCUUUCAUGGAAAACAUGGAAUUAUCUGGGUGACCCCAAACUUUUGAACGGUAGUGUAUGUUCUCUACCAUGUGUAACUGUCAUUAACACUAUACUGUAUCUAAUUAGCAAAAUAACUCAUCAUUCAGGGCUCAUGUACAUAAUACUGUGUAUAAUAACGGAUUACUGCUGUUGCAAUAAUUUCACCGAUUUCUCACCUAGUAGUGUGUCUGAUGUAUGCUUGUGUUUUUAGUUUGGUCUUUAAAAAUUGCCUUAUAUUUAUUCUUAGUUAUUUAGCGUGUUAACACUUUGAUUUCUGCACUGUGAAUGGAUGAGAGAAACGUCACUUUGUUUCACUGUGGACUACAUGCAUUGCAGAAUGAUAAUAAAGCUGAAGUUGAAGUUA